CUGAACCUGGACGACAUUCUGCAUGGCUUUGCCGGUCGGCGUGUGGGUUUCCCAAUAACCUAUCUGGGUCUGCCAAUUUCCCUGGGUAGAUUGUGGAAAGUGCACCUUCAGUUCAUCUUCGACCCCAUCAAGGCAAAACUGGCACGCUGGAAAGGGCGGCUCAUGAAUAGUGCAGGCCGGCACACACUUGUCCGCUCGGUGCUAUCUGCUAUUCCGAUCUUCGCGCUCACCUCCAUCAAGGCCUCGAGUAGUGUCCUAAAGGACAUUGACAAGAUCUGCCAUCGCUUCCUCUGGGCCCAAGAGGAGGAACUAUCGUGGGGCAAAUGCAAAGUAAACUGG
rnacentral:rRNA from 1 species